GAUGAACGCUGGCGGCGUGCCUAAUACAUGCAAGUCGAGCGAACAGACGAGGAGCUUGCUCCUCUGACGUUAGCGGCGGACGGGUGAGUAACACGUGGAUAACCUACCUAUAAGACUGGGAUAACUUCGGGAAACCGGAGCUACUACCGGCUCACAUGUUGAACCGCAUGGUUCAACAGUGAAAGACGGUCUUGCUGUCACUUAUAGAUGGAUCCGCGCCGCAUUAGCUAGUUGGUAAGGUAACGGCUUACCAAGGCAACGAUGCGUAGCCGACCUGAGAGGGUGAUCGGCCACACUGGAACUGAGACACGGUCCAGACUCCUACGGGAGGCAGCAGUAGGGAAUCUUCCGCAAUGGGCGAAAGCCUGACGGAGCAACGCCGCGUGAGUGAAGAAGGUCUUCGGAUCGUAAAACUCUGUUAUUAGGGAAGAACAAAUGUGUAAGUAACUAUGCACGUCUUGACGGUACCUAAUCAGAAAGCCACGGCUAACUACGUG
rnacentral:rRNA from 1 species